UUUUGACCUCGGAUCAAGUAGGGAUACCCGCUGAACUUAAGCAUAUCAAU
rnacentral:rRNA from 1 species